GCACCUGUGGCGAAAUUGGCAUACGCGAUAGAUUUAGGUUCUAUUUUCGAGAGAAGUGCAGGUUCAAGUCCUGUCAGGUGCACCA
rnacentral:tRNA from 1 species